UUCAGUUUUAACGUUUACUUAUUAAAUUUUGAUCAAUAAUAAGCUUUUAUAAAGACAAUUAUUUUUGAUACGAUAUUUAUUAAAAGAAAAUUGUGGAAGUAUAGCAUAAAAAAAAGGCAAAAAAUAAAAAUGAAUUAUCCAGUCUUACUGAGUUUGUGUUUGUUUUUUUUCGCAGCAUAUGGUAUUCCACCCGAUAAUCAAAAUGA